rnacentral:rRNA from 1 species
UCAAGUGAAUAAGUGCAUGUGGUGGAUGCCUUGGCGAUUACAGGCGAUGAAGGACGUGAUAGCCUGCGAUAAGCUUCGGGGAGCUGGCAAGUUAGCUUUGAUCCGGAGAUUUCCGAAUGGGGAAACCCACCGAAAGGUAUCGCACACUGAAUACAUAGGUGUGCGAGGCGAACCGGGUGAACUGAAACAUCUCAGUAGCUCGAGGAAAAGACAUCAACCGAGAUUCCGAAAGUAGUGGCGAGCGAAAUCGGAACAGCCUGCACGUUUUAGCAAUCGGCUUAUCGGAACGGAAUGGAAAGUCCGGCCAUAGCGGGUGAUAGCCCCGUACGGGAAAAGUUGGUUGUGGAACUGGGCGUGCGACAAGUAGGGCGGGACACGUGUAAUCCUGUCUGAACAUGGGGGGACCAUCCUCCAAGGCUAAAUACUCGUAAUCGACCGAUAGCGAACUAGUACCGUGAGGGAAAGGCGAAAAGAACCCCGGGAGGGGAGUGAAAUAGAUCCUGAAACGAUAUGCAUACAAACAGUCGGAGCCCGCAAGGGUGACGGCGUACCUUUUGUAUAAUGGGUCAGCGACUUACGUUCAGUAGCAAGGUUAACCAAUAGGGAAGCCGCAGGGAAACCGAGUCCGAAUAGGGCGACUAGUUGCUGGGCGUAGACCCGAAACCGGAUGAUCUAUCCAUGGCCAGGAUGAAGGUGCGGUAACACGCACUGGAGGUCCGAACCCACUAGUGUUGCAAAACUAGGGGAUGAGCUGUGGAUAGGGGUGAAAGGCUAAACAAAUCCGGAAAUAGCUGGUUCUCUCCGAAAACUAUUUAGGUAGUGCCUCGUGUAUUGCUCCGGGGGGUAGAGCACUGUUAUGGUUGUGGGGGUCAUUGCGACUUACUGCGCCAUUGCAAACUCCGAAUACCCGGAAGUAUGAGCACGGGAGACAGAGCACUGGGUGCUAACGUCCAGACUCAAGAGGGAAACAACCCAGACCGCCAGCUAAGGUCCCCAAUAUUGACUAAGUGGGAAACGAAGUGGGAAGGCAUAGACAGUCAGGAGGUUGGCUUAGAAGCAGCCAUCCUUUAAAGAAAGCGUAAUAGCUCACUGAUCGAGUCGUCCUGCGCGGAAGAUGUAACGGGGCUAAGUCAAUAACCGAAGCUGCGGAUCUCGUAAGAGAUGGUAGGAGAGCGUUCUGUACGCCUGUGAAGGUGAGUCGUAAGGCUUGCUGGAGGUAUCAGAAGUGCGAAUGCUGACAUGAGUAGCGUUAAAAGCAGUGAAAAACUGCUUCGCCGAAAGCGCAAGGUUUCCUACGCAACGUUAAUCGACGUAGGGUGAGUCGGCUCCUAAGGUGAGGGCGAAAGCCGUAAUCGAUGGGAAACAGGUGAAUAUUCCUGUACCGCCGUUCAAUGCGAUGGGGGGACGAAGAAGGUUAACUCAGCCGGGUGUUGGAUGUCCCGGUUUAAGCGUGUAGUCGUGCCUGGUAGGCAAAUCCGCCGGGCUUAGAUGAGGCGUGAUGACGAGUGGCUUCGGCCAUGAAGUGAGCGAUACCCUGCUUCCAAGAAAAGCCUCUAAGCUUCAGUUGAAUGGUGACCGUACCGCAAACCGACACUGGUGCGCGUGCUGAAUAUGCUCAGGCGCUUGAGAGAACUCAGGAGAAGGAACUCGGCAAAUUGAUACCGUAACUUCGGGAGAAGGUAUGCCGCUAGUAGGUGAAGGAGUACAUCCGGAGCCAAACGCGGUCUCAGAGAAUCGGUGGCUGCGACUGUUUAUCAAAAACACAGCACUCUGCAAACACGAAAGUGGACGUAUAGGGUGUGACGCCUGCCCGGUGCCGGAAGGUUAAUUGAUGGGGUCAGCCGCAAGGCGAAGCUCUUGAUCGAAGCCCCGGUAAACGGCGGCCGUAACUAUAACGGUCCUAAGGUAGCGAAAUUCCUUGUCGGGUA